UUCAUUUCGUACACACUCGCUUCCUUCCCAAACCCAAUAGUGUCCUUUAUUUCCUUCAAGAUGAGCUCAUUUCUUUGUCUAAUAGCUGAAGAAGUUAUAUAAGCACCACGAUCAUGAACUUCAAAGUUCAGAAACUAGUAAGCAAACUUUGGAUAUUCCUCGCUGAAACUAGAAUAUAGAGUUUUUUGGUAGAUUGUUGAUAUUCUAAAAUGGAAACCUGAAACUAUGAUAAUUAGGUUCACGAAAUUGACGAUAGAGGCUGAAAUUUUAUUUUAUUUGCUGAAAAGUGCAUGAACAAUCAUGUUGGAUGCUGAAAGCGUUGAAAAAACCUUAGUUAGAUUUCCAAAUCUUGCUAUGGUAUGUACGGGGUUUAUAUACAUGAUGCAUGCUAGAUUAGGCUAUACAUUUGUAAUCUUUGUGGUUUGGAUAGUUUUAGCCUGAAGUGUUUUUGUGAAGGUCUACAAGUGAUAUGCUUUACAUUGAUGAAGUUGUUGGAAGUACUAUUGCAUGGCCUGCUGACAAGGUUCUUAUGGACUCUAAGCCAGGGUUCAUGGGCUGAUAAAGAAGAAAAGUUCUUUUGUGACUUUUUGCUGAAGAUGUAGAUAUCAUCUAGCUAGUGUGCUAGUUGUCAUGAUCUCUUGGUUGAAGCCUCUUUGUUGAUAUUUUGGUGGCAAGGCUUAUACUCCACUUUUGGGAUACAUAGUUGUUUUGGUUGAAGCCUUUUUGUUGGUAUUUUUUGACUAGGCUUGUACUCGACUUUUGGGAUAGACGAAUGUUUUGGAAGGAUGUAGUACUCUAAUUUUCUUCUAUGUAAUGCUAGUCAUUUUGUUC